UUAGAAGAGUCAAUCCUUCAUUUAUUUAACUCUUUUUGUGGAACAAUAUUAGAGGUUUGGGUUCUGUUUGCUUCUUCAUUUCAUGAGUCAGUCCAUGUAUCCAUGCUUUCUACGUACCCUCCAGCAAAACCCAAACUCAUGCAUUCGGAUUUUUUUUUUUUUUUUUGUGCAGUGUGGAUCAGAGCUGGUUGCCGCGUUAUUCAUAUCAGAGAUCUCAAGUCCUUUCCUCCAUGCCAGGGAGCUGCUUAAAGAACUCCGUUACAGGGACACUGACCUCAAUUUAGCAGCCGAUGUCAGUUGUCAAACUCUUCAAACUCCCAUUCCUUUGUUAUCACUUUCUGGCUUUAGAUCAACAUUUCCAUCUAACUUGAAUGGCAACAAUUUCGGUCAUCUACUUUUUAUUUGUUUAGAUGGCCCCCUCUCUCAAGUUUUCAAGCAGUAUUAAAUUCCAUGUGUGGUCUUUUUCAUAGUCCUAAAAGCUCAUGGCGGGUUGGUUUUGAACAGAUCACAUUUGCUGUAAUAUUCUCACUAGCAAGGAUGGUGGGUGGUCCUUAUGUCACUUUCGUGACUCUGUCUGUUAAUAAUCCUAUACUUAUCAAGGUAAUUACUUGCACCAUACCCACCUUUGGCUUGUUCAUGAUUCAAUCAAUGAAUUAACAUAUGAAAAUAACUGGCAAAACGCCCAUCUCUUAUGUUAUUCAGGCAAUGGCCCUGGGACUGCAGUUAGUCAGUGCUUUCUGGUUCUACAAGAUUGUAAAGAUGGUGAAAUACAAGCUUACCAGAGGAAAGAAGAAGGUGGUUUCUAGUCCUCUGCAUUCAGGAAAAUUGAACUAAAGCCAGUGUUACAAGUUCACUAGGAUUGACGACUGAUUGUGUUGAAAGAUGUUGCAUGAAGGUGAGCACUUGAUGUGCUAAAUUUAGCUCAUAAAAUCCCAUUAUUUAAAAUUUGUGGUGUUGUUUAGAUGCUCAAUUGACGUGGAAUUCAUGAUUCUGCUUUAAAAUUGUAAUACUCGACAUACAUACUAACUAACAUCGUGUAGGUGAUCUGAUCAUCAUCUACCGUUGAAUUUACAAAAGUUCGUAAAAUCAUAUCCAUGUAAUUGGACUUCAAUCAUCAUUACCAUUAAAAGGCUAAAAUCCGUUCGGUACUCAGCAACCAAUAAAACACAAGAAGGCUUUGAUGUUACUUGUUGCCGUCCAAAGUGUUUUUCUUGUCAAUUGCCAGCCAGACAUAAGCACCUUACUGUGGCUGAUUCGCAUCAAAAAGGUGACCACCAAAUCCUCUUUUCUCAAGCUCCGUUCUCUUCUUGCUGCUUGUGCAAGUCCCAGAGACAAUCCUACAAAUAGGAGCAUUUAAACAAUGAUUGCAUGCUUUAUAAUUCCAUCUCAGAAGCCAUAGACAAUUAGGCAUUCUUACCAGCCUUCAUUCAGGAGCUCCUGAGCAAAGAACUGUCCGACAUAACCCAUGUCUAGAAUGAGCAUCCGAUUCCCAGAUUCUCAGUCUGGUUCAUCCGUUUGGGAACAGCUAGCCCAAAAUUUGAAAGGAUCUUGGGCUGGAAUCCAGAAAUGGGCUCAGCAUCUUGACCAUUUUCAUGAAUAUUUUGGGCUUUUGCUAUUGCACUGGAACCCAAAAAGGACAUCCUCUUUAUAAUCCAAGAAGUAUCCAUUAACAUCCAAGUUAUAAGCUCCACGGAGCAAUCAUUGGAGCAUGUUUAAGUAGUAAUGUUUUUUAUUAAUAAAAAAAGAGUAUUUUAAAAAAUAAUUUUUAUAGAUAAGAUAUUUUUAAAAAUAAUUUCUUUUUAAUUUUAAUUAUUUUUAAUCAAAUUAAACAAAAUUACUCUUAAUAAAAUUAUACGUCAUGUACAAAAACAUGUUAUACGUCAUGGUUAGGUUGUUACAUGUUAUGUACAAAAACAUGUGACACGUCAUGGUUAGGUUUUUACACGUUAUGUGCAAAAAUAUGUGACACGCCAUAAUUAGAUUAUUGCAUGUCAUAUUGAAAAAAAAGAUAUUGUUAUUACAUGCCAUUUUGAAAAAAUAUUAUUGUUACACUUUAAUACUUAAAAUGUUGUUGUUACUUAUGAACAAAAACUUUUUUUUUUUGACAAUUUAACACCGAUUAAAGUGUUUCUAACAUGUUUUCAUAAAUCAAAAUACAAAUUUUUUUAUCUAAAAUACUUAUUUCGACUAAAAAUCGAAAAAAAUUUAUUUUGAAAACAUAGAUUUAUAAAUUUCAAAAAUUUGAGUUUAUUGGUGUCUAGGUCCUGAAUUGAUCCAAUUAAAAGUUAUUUCAAACAUUUAUGAUCAUUUUUACCAUUUUAAUUUUAUCCAAAAUACUUAAAAAUCAAAAUUUUCAAACAGUCAUCCACCCAAACACAUCAAAACCAUCGUCUGGUGUCUUAAGAGCGUAAGAAAGAGAAAUCUGAAACGCGGGAGAGAGAAAUCGAAGCAUAGCAAGUGAAUGUCGAAGAGAGAAAUGGAUAAAAUUAAAGAGAGUGGGAUGGUGAGAGAGAGAAAUCGAAAGCACAAAUUGAGAGAAAUUAUGAUGAAGGUUUAAUUUAUUUGAAAUAUUUUUAAGAGUUUUUUUGUCAAGUCAUAGUUAAAUAUGACUAAAAAUAACUAAAUUUAUUUUAAUAAUUAUUUUUAAAAUACCUUUAUCAAGAAAGGUUAUUUUUCAUAAUUGCCUCCUUUUUUAUUUUGGGUGAAAGUAGGCAGUAGGCUUUUUACUUAGCUUCAAGGGACGUUGUAUUUCGUUAAAUGUGAACAAGACUAAUAACUAGAGCAUUAAUUAUAUGAAUUUUGCUUUUCCAAGCUAACCCAAAAUUCAUUCCUUGUAAUAUUUAAACCUCUUAUUUAUUGUUGUUGUUAUAUAGUCACUUUCAUUAAUAUAAAUACCCAUUUUGGCAUUACAAUUUAAUUUCCUUAAUACAAUGAGUGCAAUUAAAGUUGUAACGUAAUGUAUUCUUCUCUAGCUGACUAGACCAUGCCAACUACCCACAUUCAUUAUAUUUAGUUAGCAACAGAAAGAUGAAAACGAAGUACACCCCCCUUCAUUUAUACUUUGUCGACAACUUCUAGCAGCCCCUUAAAUUCUGUGCAUUAAAAAUUGGCUGAAAAUAGGCAAAGAAAUAAGUAUUUAAAUCUAGAGUUUUCCCUUUUGUCUUUAAUGAAAGAACCCUCCGGUCAAAAUGGGCUUUACCGUUAGUAAUUAUCAAUACUUAGAUUAAUUUUAUCUUGAUAUUCAUGGCCAUAAUCGAACAACAUUAAAAUCUCAAAAGGGCACUCAGUUUGAACAAAAGUUACUGUGUUUGAUCACUUUAGAAGCUAUUAAAUGGAAUUGGGUUCGGAAGAAAGAGUUUGGCCACCAACCUACCCUGACCCUGACGGCAUGAACUAUCUGAAAAAGUAAAUGGUCAUCCGGAAACUGCUUGGCAGAUGAGUUUGAUGACUUAGCUUUUGGCAAAUCAGUUCCAUAUACAUAUAUAUUCACAGUUUAUGGCAUUGAAGGAGAAAAAGGGUGGUCAUUGUUUGUGUUCAUAUGCUUACAAUCUGUAGGUAAAAAUCUGUAUAAACCCAAGUUUCCUUUCUGCUUUCCUGUUUAGAAGACAGGAAUAGGCCGAAUUCUUUCCUCUUUUUUUGUUUCCUUCUGGUUUUAGCGCUUUUGAAAGCUUUUAUCUGGAAUUGUUUGGGGGUACUUUCACUGGUAGCUUGGAAGGAAGGGAAACAAACAUGGAAGACGACAUUGCCAACUUGAUUGUGUUGGGAGUACUCUCAUGGACGACGGCUUUUCUAUUAAUCAGAAAAAAUUUAUCUAAACGCUCCUUUGAUUUCUGCAACCGCAUUGUUUCUACCAUCCAUGCAACCUUAGCUGUAAUCUUAGCCUCCCGUUCUGUUGAAGAUUGGAGUUGCCCAGUCUGUCCUUUGGCUUCAAAAUCUUCUCUUAAGCAGGUAUUUAACAACCAAGGCUCUUGCCAUCUUGGACUUUGGGAGAGAUGUUUUAGAAAUUCUUAAUCUAUCUAUGGUGGAUUUCUGAAUUCUGACUUUCGGGCAGAGGCAAACUUUGGCUGUGACCGUUGCUUAUCUCAUCUAUGACCUGAUAUGCGGCCUCUUUGAAGAGCGAGUCAGUCUUGAUAAUACAGUUCACCACUUGGUCAGCAUCGUUGGUAUUGGAGCAGGUCUUGCCUAUCAAAAGGUUUUCACCUUUAUACUUGGGUGCUUGUUUUCUGCCUAAAAAACUUUUUGCAAAUGUUGAUUCAGCUUAGUUUUAACUCUUUUUUCCGAAGUUAAUUUGAUGAAAUCAAAAUCCCAAGUCUGUGGAUCAAUAUUUAGAGGUUUGGGUUCUGUUUGCUUCUUCAUUUCAUGAGUUAGUCCAUGUAUCCAUGCUUUCUACUUGACUCUCCAGCAAAACCCAAGCACAUGCAUUCGGUUUUCUUUUGCAGUGUGGAUCAGAGCAGGUUGCUGCGUUAUUCAUAACAGAGAUCUCAAGUCCUUUCCUCCAUGCCAGGGAGCUGCUUAAAGAACUCGGUUAUAGGGACACUGACCUCAAUUUAGCAGCCGAUGUGAGUUCCCAAACUCUUCAAACUCCCAUUUCUUUGUUUUCACUUUUUGGCUUUAGAUCAGCAUAUCCAUUUACCUUGAAUGGCAACAAUUCCAGUCAUUUUUUAAUUGUUUAGAGGGC
rnacentral:lncRNA from 1 species